GUCCUUGUUGUCACUGACUCAACUAGAAGCACAACAAUAAACAUGAUUCUAUCUGCCAAUACAAACAUCUGAGAAACUAGAAACUUGAAAAAACAUAUUCCCAAAGCCUGAUGAAACAAAAAAGUAUAUAUAUAUAUAUAUAUAUAGAUAUAUAUAUAUAUAUAUAUAUAGAGUUGGUGUCCGAGGAGCACAUACUGUAGAGAGUAUAACCUUUGUAACAGGAUGUAUAAUGUUAAGCAGCUACUGCAAAAUCUGGGCCACAUACACUUGUUAUAUUGAUGCUUUCCUUCAAUAAUGGCUAUUUUACC